CAAAUGGCUGUCUGCAUCAGGAGGAGAUAGUAAUCUUGAACCAAGCAUCCAGGAAGGCAAGGGAAGAGUGCAGACCUCCUUUCUCAAUAGGGAGCAGGAAGAGUGGGCAGCGACGGAGAAAGGAAACAGAGGCAGGGGAAAGAAGGAGAGAAAGUCAUGUUUCACAUUUUUUCCAUCAGUGGAAGGAUGAGACACCUACAAGGCAAGGCCCGUAUGAAAGGUGAAGCCACUCAACAGGGAGAUAUGCAAUACUCCAUUGGAAAACAUCCAGGAGGAGUGUGGUGGGGUCAUGCUGGACUUCACACCAGGUUCCUGCCAACUCUGGAUCUUCCUCCACCCCAGGAUUCUAUUUAGUCCUGAGAGCAGAGGGUCCUUCUGAGGGUGAGCUAUGUGCCUACCCAACAGUAGGCAGAGCCGGUACCAGCUAAGGUAAAUAGCGCCCUGCUAGUGUUCAUUAUCUGGGGGUGGUCAGCACUAAUUGUGUGUGGAUCAGAGGGCUAUCUUCAAAAAUUACCCACUACCUUUGGGUACCUCACAAGAAGCCCAAACAGACAGUCCUUUCCCCAGCAGCCUGGGCAUAGAUCCCCCAUAAAAGCUUGUGCUUGGAACCCUCAAACCACCUGACACCUUUGCUCCAAAUGAAUACAAUUUGGAACACCUGUGCUUUACUGGUGUAAAUGUUGUACAUGUUCAGUUAUAACCAACAGACCAGAAUGAAUUUUAAAGCAUAACAUCUGUUUAUAAAACACUGUUGCUUGUUUAG